UCAGGGAAAGCCAGAGAAAGGUGGAGAUCAGCAGGAGAGCAGAGGCCGCUGAUGGGAACCAGGCCAGGGUUUAGGACUUCAACAUAUCUUUUGGGGGCAUAAUUCAACUCACUACAGUAGAAUUCUGGGUGGAGAGACAGAGACUGGGCACAGGCCCCACUUCUACAAUUUUGUGGCCCAGGGCACUGGCUUCUGGAAGGAAGAAAUAAGGAGUCUGAGGCUGGGAAAAAAGCAUGAAGAUGACCCAAUCCCACUGUUGGCAAGAAUGUUUUUCUAGAAUAUGAGUGGUGAUGGAGUGCAUAUUGACCCUUGUGGGGUUCAAAUUCAGCAC